rnacentral:rRNA from 1 species
GGGGUGUAACCUAUCACAGGUGCUGCAUGGCUGUCGUCAGCUCGUGUCGUGAGAUGUCGGGUUAAGUCCCAUAACGAGCGAAACCCUUGUCCUUAGUUGCUAGCGGGUAAAGCCGAGGACUCUAAGGAGACUGCCGGUGUUAAACCGUGAGGAAGUGGGGACGACGUCAAGUCAUCAUGGCCUUUAUGUCCAGGGCUACAAACGUGCUACAAUGGCCGGCAUAAAGGAGGCAAAACCGUGAGGUGGAGCAAAUCUCAAAAAUCCGGCCCAGUUCGGAUUGGAGGCUGCAAUUCGCCUCCAUGAAGUUGGAAUCGCUAGUAAUCGCGUGUCAGCUACAACGCGGUGAAUGUGUUCCUGAGCCUU